CAGUCGCCACGGUAAUACGUAGGGUGCGAGCGUUAAUCGGAAUUACUGGGCGUAAAGCGUGCGCAGGCGGUUAUAUAAGACAGAUGUGAAAUCCCCGGGCUCAACCUGGGACCUGCAUUUGUGACUGUAUAGCUGGAGUACGGUAGAGGGGGAUGGAAUUCCGCGUGUAGCAGUGAAAUGCGUAGAUAUGCGGAGGAACACCGAUGGCGAAGGCAGCCCCCUGGGAUAACGCUGACGCUCAUGCACGAAAGCGUGGGGAGCAAACAGGAUUAGAUACCCCUGUAGUCCCUGUCUCUUAUAC
rnacentral:rRNA from 1 species